CUCGUCAUUGUAAGCGUCUGCCACAGAGCUGGGUUUGUAUAAUUUCAGUUCUUUCUUUAUGCCAGAGGGCAAAUGAAGAAAAAAAAAAAAAAAAACCUUGGAGAACCAGGCAAUUCCCAGCCAAACUGAAUGAGAAAGUCGAGGCAAUUAUUGGAAAAUACAUGUGAAAACCUGUUAUCACUCAAAUUGAAAGGUGUUCAUGGGAACAUAACUGAUGAAGGCUGAACAAAGCAACCCUACUUAAUCAGUUCCCUGCUGCUUGGGCGGAUGACCUUUCUCCCAGGAAUGUCCUCUUCAAAGAGGUUUGUGGAACACAUGUUGUCCUUUAAGAACGACGAGUCUAUACAUCUGCUGCAGGUGAAUGGCUGCAGUUGUGCCACUUCUCUCUCUUUUCAUUACGCUUGGUAUGAGGAAUGAAGAUGUGAAGAUAUAGAAAGAUGACAAGACAGAGUUGCAGGACAUCCAGGGCUAUGCAGAGAAACCUUGCCUCAAAAACCAAAAAAGAAAAAAAGAAAGAAAGAAAGAAAUGUGAGUCCCAUCGGGAUCUGAAAUUUUGAUUGAGUAGGUGUUAAUUCCUCACCACACAACUUUCAACUAUGUUAAUUCUGUUUCUUUAGUGGAGAACUCAAUUGACAACUAGAGUCUAACAAUGUUAUCUCAAUGGAAGGUUUUCUUUUUUUUAAUGUUGUGUUACUGUUUUGUUUUUGCAUUUUAUUUUCAAUUCAUUUGAGCAUGAAAAAAAAUAAAAAGAAAUCUUUCUGGAAAAAAAAAGUAGAACUAUUCCAAAUUUUCUGAGAAACCUCCAAGUUGAUUUACAAAGUGGAUGUACAAGUUUAUACUCCCACCAAAAAAUGGAGGCAUGUUUCCCAUGAACCAUAAGAUGGAAUCUCAGAGUUUGUUUAAUUUGCAUUUCUUAGAUGACUAAAGAUGUUCAACAUUUCUUUAAGUGCUUCUUUUUUAAAAAAAAUAUUUUCUGUCUGAAGAGAGUCAUAGCGUGAGGAGCAUCAACAGGCACAGGCACCCAGUGAGGCAUGUGAGUAACUAGGGCAUACCUAAAUUUACUAGCAUUCCAGCAUUGGGCAAAAAAGCAAGUAUCAUUACCACAAUUACUUGGCUCUAUCUGGCUAAUAAUGAAUAAAAAUGGGGGAUAUAGACAAACAGGUGUGGGCUUAUAGGAAAUAUUAUGAGAAGCCUUAACCCCCUCGUUGGAACAUCUUGCAUCAGUUCUAGAACUAGCAGUGGUGGUGUCCAAGGUCUGAGUAGGUUCAGGAGACCAUUGCCCCAGGGGCGAGACGUGUUCCAUGCCAAUUGACUAACUCCAUGUUUUCCUCCACUUUUGAAAGUCAAAAGGGAUCUUGGAACUACAGCCACCAUUGUUACUACCAUCUCAUUGGCGGCUGUUGGAGCUACCACCGGGGCAUUAGCCAUGAGUUAUACUGGGCAGACUGCUCAGACCCUGAACAAUCAUUUAGCCAAUGUAGCUCAUGCCUUAGUUUUACAUAAAGGAAUUAAUGCUCAACUAAAAGGAAGCUUGAUGGUGUUCAAUCAGAGGAGUGACCUCGU